rnacentral:rRNA from 1 species
UCCAGACUCCUACGGGAGGCAGCAGUGGGGAAUAUUGCACAAUGGGGGGAACCCUGAUGCAGCGACGCCGCGUGAGCGAUGAAGUAUUUCGGUAUGUAAAGCCCUAUCGGCAGGGAAGAAGCAAGACGGUACCUGACUAAGAGGCCCCGGCUAACUACGUGCCAGCAGCCGCGGUAAUACGUAGGGGGCGAGCGUUAUCCGGAUUCACUGGGUGUAAAGGGGGCGCAGACGGCCAUGGCAAGCCCGGUGUGAAAGGCAGGGGCAUAACCCCUGGACUGCACUGGGAACUGUCAGGCUGGAGUGCCGGAGGGGUAAGCGGAAUUCCUGGUGUAGCGGUGAAAUGCGUAGAUAUCAGGAGGAACACCGGCGGCGAAGGCGGCUUACUGGACGGCAACUGACGUUGAGGCCCGAAAGCGUGGGGAGCGAACAGGAUUAGAUACCCUAGUAAC